GGGGUGUAGCUCAGUAGAAGAGCAUCAAGUACAGUAUGCAUGCAGAUGGACCCAGGUUCAAUUCCUGGCAUCAACU